UGGGGAAUCUUGGACAAUGGGCGCAAGCCUGAUCCAGCCAUGCCGCGUGAGUGAUGAAGGCCUUAGGGUUGUAAAGCUCUUUUGGCGGGGACGAUAAUGACGGUACCCGCAGAAUAAGCCCCGGCUAACUUCGUGCCAGCAGCCGCGGUAAUACGAAGGGGGCUAGCGUUGUUCGGAAUUACUGGGCGUAAAGCGCACGUAGGCGGAUUUGUCAGUCAGGGGUGAAAUCCCGAGGCUCAACCUCGGAACUGCCUCCGAUACAGCAAGUCUCGAGUCCGGAAGAGGUGAGUGGAAUUCCUAGUGUAGAGGUGAAAUUCGUAGAUAUUAGGAAGAACACCAGUGGCGAAGGCGGCUCACUGGUCCGGUACUGACGCUGAGACGCGAAAGCGUGGGGAGCAAACAGGAUUAGAUACCCAGGUAGUCCCUGAGCGGGCUGGCAAGGCGCAU
rnacentral:rRNA from 1 species